UACGAGGGGCCCAAACGUUAUUCGGAAUUACUGGGCUUAAAGAGUUCGUAGGCGGCAUUGCAAGUAGGGUGUGAAAGCCCUCGGCUCGACCGAGGAAUUGCGCUCUAAACUGCAGUGCUUGAGGAACCUAGAGGUGAGCAGAACAGAUGGUGGAGCGGUGAAAUGCGUUGAUAUCAUCUGGAAUACCGGAGGCGAAGGCGGCUCACUGGGAGUUUUCUGACGCUGAGGAACGAAAGCCAGGGUAGCGAACGGG
rnacentral:rRNA from 1 species